GAUGAAGAACGCAGCGAAAUGCGAUAAGUAAUGUGAAUUGCAGAAUUCAGUGAAUCAUCGAAUCUUUGAACGCACAUUGCGCCCCUUGGUAUUCCGAGGGGCAUGCCUGUUCGAGCGUCAUUAUAACCCUCAAGCUCAGCUUGGUGUUGGGGCCUGCUGCACUGGCAGCCCAUAAAAUCAGUGGCGGCGCCAUCUGGCUCUAAGCGUAGUAAUUCUUCUCGCUAUGGAGUCCUGGUGGAUGCUUGCCAUCAACCCCCAAUUUUUCUAUGGUUGACCUCGGAUCAGGUAGGGAUACCCGCUGAACUUAAGCAUAUCAAUAAGCGGAGGA
rnacentral:misc_RNA from 1 species